rnacentral:misc_RNA from 1 species
AACCAUUCUCACCUGCGGCUAGACCUGCGGAGGGAUCAUUACCGAGUUUACAACUCCCAAACCCCUGUGAACAUACCUAUACGUUGCCUCGGCGGAUCAGCCCGCGCCCCGUAAAACGGGACGGCCCGCCCGAGGACCCCUAAACUCUGUUUUUAGUGGAACUUCUGAGUAAAACAAACAAAUAAAUCAAAACUUUCAGCAACGGAUCU